UCGCCGAGAGCCAGCCAGACGAUCGAGCGGGUCAAACUGGCUCUCCGCUAGUCAUUAUAACAAGUCCUUAGUACUCACAUAUCGCGCUAUAUCCCCAAAGCACAUAGGGAUACUGUUUACACCCAAAUUGCCAACAGAUACAGGGCCCAUUUCUUGCUCUAGCUUGUCAGCUGGUGUUAUCGUAUCGAGUGUGAGCGAGGAGUUGCUGAUCUGAGACAGGAUGGGGCACUUCAUGAUGGACGACCAGAACAUCUUUGCAUGGUUAUGUACAUCAUGCGUGCUUUGUUGCUUCAUGGGAUGCGCAUACAUAUUCUACAUAAUCGUUACCAUCAUUCUUCCUCCGCUUCCUGUUUUCAUAAGGCACCACUGCGAGAAGGAGUUCUGGAUUUGCUUGCUGCUUACUAUAUGCGGCUACAUCCCUGGCGUCAUCUACUCCUUUUGGAUCAACAAAUUUGAUCUAUUUUGCGAGAAAAACGACGACUCGACCUAAUUAAGAUAUAUACUAGCUACUAAGAUUAUAACGUGCAAUCAAUUGGUCCCAAAUAUAGAAUCCUUAUAUCUCAGAUUGUAAUCAUGCAUUCUCGACAGAUACAGUGACUUGCUUUGGGGCUUUCAGAUGCUACUCCGUUACUGAGUGUUUAUAAAAGUAAUCUUUGGAUUUGUUAGGAAGAAUGUGUAAUGGGAUGAGGAUGAGAAUUACCCCUCCCAGUAGUUAAUAGAAAGGAUAUAUAUCUAGCCUCCUUGCGAGAAGAUUCAAGCACAACUGAUCAUAUUAUUCAUGCUACUCUCUGUUUGUCCAAUGUUCAGAAAACUACCAAUAGCAUCAUUAUCAGGGUGGAUGGCAAUAUUGAUUUUUAUUAUUACUUUCUACCC